rnacentral:misc_RNA from 1 species
UGUUCAGAAGCAUAGCCCCGCAGAGGCCCUGAACGUCUCUUUUUUCCUUCGCUUCUUCAGCUUUAAUGAUUUACACCCGCCCUUCUUUUACCCGAUCAGAGAUGCUCUGCGUUCUCUUUUAGUACCCUUUCACUAUACCACCGUUGUGUUUCCUCGUGUGUUCUCUCUCCCUUGACACACGAGAAAGCGCAACACCGUCGCCAGAGCAUGAUACUACCGCAUGCAGCGUUUUUGUGCGUGCUGCCGCGAUAGCGAAGCUGCUUUCAGAACCACAGUGACAUAACUCUUUCAUGUUUGCAUGUGUGACGAGAGGGACUGUUCCCUCCCCUCCCCUCCUCUCCCCUCCCCUCCCCCUCUCCUCUUUUUCUCUCUUUUUCAUGUCCUGCAUUCAUAGGAAAGUCUUUUGUAUAGUAUUUCGCUAAACGUUUUCCUUCUUUUUUUUACUUGUAUAUCCGGCGCUGCUGUUCGAUAGCAUGCGUGACGACCACGCCAACAUACAGCUAGUGACACCUACACAUGCUGAUUCGCAGAGCGCCUAUGCCAUCAUGACAAGGUGCGAUGGACAUGUCGGGGAACUAACACAAACACACAUAUACACAUACAACAACACUCACAAGGGUGUAUACUUGCUGUCACUGUUUCAAAAUCAUGUCCAUCGAGAAAGAGAAGCCUUUGCAGGCUUUUUUUUUUCGUCUCUCCAUUUUCAAGAAGUGGUUGCAUAAUCCCUGUUGUUCAACCCACUCUUACGUGUAUCCCUUCUCUGUGUUUCUGCUUUGCCUGUCUUGAGCGUUUUCUUUUUCGCCUAGUGCUGCUUGCUUUCUUUUCUUUGACGUGUAUGCCACCUCUACGCAUAUGGCGCUUCCCACCACUACCUCCGUUUUCUUUCUUCUAAGAGCUACUGUUCUUGGGCUCGCUAUCCCGUGUGUCCCUCUCUCAUAGCAUCAUGUUAAACUAUAAUUCUAUGAAACCGAUAAAGGCCUAAACACAGAAACGGCGUGCACAGUGAUCGAAAAGAAGGGGUAUGCGUGCUUGCCAGACACCGUUCUCAUCAUCGUACGAACAAAGGAAAAAAAAGCUAAACAAGGGCUUUACGGUCCGCAACAAUACACGCUCAACAGAUGCACGCAAACAUACACAUACGCACACACACACGCACACGCACCAAAGCAAGAGAAAUGUGUCACCGAAUAAAGAAUGACGUGGAAAAAUGGUAAUAACCAAAAAAAAAAGAAAAAAGGUCAAGCCUCUGAGAAGAAGAGGCACGUGCCUUCGGAGAACCACUUCAGAGAGCAGACCAACACCACCACCUCAGAAUACUCGUUUACUCUUUUUAUUGCCCGCAUUUUUUUCUAUAUUGUGACAAAUCCGAGCUUGACACACCCGCAUUCGCUCUUCAUCGAGACAAGCACGCAUAUAUUUUUCCUAUGUAACGAGCUGACUUUUUUUUGAUGGGGGGGGCUACUUUCACUCAAAUUUUAUCUCUUACCUUUUCCUCGUCGCUCCUCUUUCAUCAAUCUUUUGUGAAGCUCUAUGAUUCUGAUGCCUUCUUUUUUCCCUCUUGUGCCAGUGUUUUCUUCCCCCCUCCCUUUUUAUAGCAUGGCAUAGUGCUCAACUGUUUGAGAGCGCACCCGACUCUAUGGAUCUGCACCUAUUACCCUCGCUGUCUGUGGGUGUGUAUUGGCAUGCAUGUGUGUACGCAUAUGGGGGUGCUUGUGUUUGUAUGUGUGUGCGUGUGCGCAGCGUGGCGUGGAGGUGAGGACGUGCUCGCCACAUGUUGGCCGGCCAUUACCACUAAGCUCUUCCGAGCGAGCACAUGCAUGUGCUCCCUUCCGUUUCAUUUUCAGUUUCUCCUCUUUGGUGUACGCAGACGUACACACCACCAGAGAAACGAAACGCACAAAACUGCCGCACAUGACAGCAGCGCAGUGGCAGGUGCCACAGACAAAGGCUCUGUCUCUCUUUUUCGUAUUUCUCUUGUCCUCCAUCCCUCCCCCUUUCGCCCCUUCGUUUGAUUUCAAGCAACUCUUGGAGAAAAAUAACACACAUAAGCACAAGGAACACGCGUGCAUCUUGGAUCCACGAAAUGGCUGAGCACAAAACGCCGACGUCCACGCAUCUGUCAAGAGAAAAAAAGAAGGAAAACGAGCCGGUGUAAUUUUGCUUGAUUUUUUAUUGAUUUAUUCUGCGAUUGUUUGCCUCUUUCCCUCUCGCCCGUUUCACGAAGGACGUGCGCUUUUCGCACUGCCUCUUUGUGGCGCUCGUGCAUGCUCACUUUCUUUUUUUUCGUAUCGCUGUCGUGUUGACAGGAGUGUGCCUCUUGCUUUUUUGUCACGUGUGCGUGUGCCGUCUAUGCUACGCUCUUGAUUUUCAUUUACUCCAUUCCGUCUGGGCCCACUCUAUCUUCCUUUCAUCAUCCCUUCGUGAACCACGGGCUAUACUUGGCAUUUUCCACUCUCCACCACCGUUGGAGCUCUGCAGGGUGCAUAUUACGGUAUAGAUGUACCCAAGAGCGUUGAAUGGUGGUGGCUAUCGCUUCUCCUGCCCUCCCUCUUGUCCCCCUCUCCUGCAGCUCGUGCGAUGAGUCGCACUGAGAAAAACGCUCGUGUCGCCGGGAUAGUGCCCAGAGGGCUGAUCAGCUGUUAUUAUAGGUGCAGGCAUAUGUCUUGUGUCCAGCUCAUCUCCCACACUUAAGCCACGGAGUUUGAUGGGUUUUGAAUCCUCUCCUUCCCAUUGCGAAAGCGCUGUGCCCUCCUGUAGGGGGCACCUCAGCUGCUUCUCCCGGGCGGCUGCCGGCAACGACGUACGGGCGUGUGCGCGUGUGCUUGGCGGCUCUCUUUCGUCUCUCUCCUGCCGGGGAGGAUGGCAGCUAGUUUUACCACCUCGUGUGUGAGCUCCAGUCAGCGCCACCCGGCCAACCCCCAUCACGUCAGCCGGCGGGCAAGAGAAUAUGGUGGGCAGGGAAGGGUGGGCCCUGCGCUUUGGGAGAAGGCAUCGAAAGGGCAAACAGCGAUUCCGUAGGGGCACAGCACAGAAGCCAGUCCCCCCCCCCCCCCCCCCCCCCCCCCCCCACCUGGCGACGUCUAACAAGUUUGCGAGGUCGCCCAUCACAGACUAGUGGAUGGCGAUGGAGCCCCUCAACAGAGAGAUGGCCUUCUACCCCCCCUUUGCCUUCUCUUUUUUUCUCACACGCUGGCGAGGGCAGCAGGUGCUCGCAUGUGCUCAAGGAUGGGUGACAGGUAUGGGUCAAGCGGAAGAGUCGGAGGAACUGCACGCUCUCGUCUUUUCGUCCCUUUCUGCCGUCUUUCUCUUUUUUUUUUCAAGACGUUUUCGCCACCCAUGACAGCUGCUCUUUUCGCUUUCUUGUGCUCCUCCUGGUAAGUCUUCUGGUGCCUCUUUCCCUCCUUUCUCCUCUGUUGUGCUCCCCCAAAGAGCGAGAGAGAGGAAUCCGCUGCCGCUGACGUGCCCGAGCGCUCAGCAGAAGGCGCCGCUUUUCUCUCCCGGUUUUCUUUCAUUUGGUGUGGUGACUGUGUUAGCUUCACUGUGCCCUUUUUCAUUUUUUUCUUUGCUUUCCCCCUUUUUUGCGCAUUUCUGCAGAAAACAAAGAGGAGUCCGCGGGCCGCAGAACGCUCGAGCUCCCUCCGCCACCACCACCACCGCCCGAAUGAAAAGCAAAAAGGCGAUGGCGCGAGAAGAGCGAUUUUUUCGGGCUUCCUUGUCCCGUCUUCUUUGCUCUCCACUUCAUGUCUGUGAGUCGCGCGUGAGGGAGAAGGGCAACAGAAGGAAGAGACACGUUGUUCUUUUGUGUCUUUUUUUUUUCUGAGUCUUGCUGUCUUAUUUUAUGUGAUGGGUACCCGGACGUCUUGGAAGAGGCGGAUCCUCUCCUGAAGCUGGCGAUGGUGACGAAAAAGGGUGCGCGGGCAGCGCAAGACAGAAGGUGAAGCAAACAAAAACAAAUCCGCUUCAGCGACUGAGUCAGGCCAAGUGAUGUCAGUGCGGGGACACGGCCUCCUCUUUGCGCCUCGCCGACUUCUCCCCCCCCCCUCUGCAGCUGUGGGAAGGCAAAGCUGGAAAAUGGGAGGGAGCGAAACAGGAAAACAAUAGGGGGGGGGAUGCUAUCAACGGGAAAGCUUCACUCUUCUACCCCCACCUUGCGAGAAGAGCAUGUCUGUCUUGAUUUAUUUUCUCUUGAACAUAUCUUCGCUACAGCGGUCGCAUGCGCUCGUGUCCGCUGUACAGCGGAGUUUGAGUAAUGAGGAAAAAAUGAAUAGAAUCCGCAAGGGCGACUCGCAGUGACAAUGCCUCCUGCAAGUGUGAGCAUCCAUUUGGGAUUCAUGCCCUAUGGGGGAGGAGGGUUGUGACUUCUUGACCAUCACCCAUGUCUGUGCAGUUUCCAUUGCGCAUUGGGUGAUCAUGUGGGCAUUUUGGUUCGCCUACCUCCUGUCCUCAUCUGCUCCUCAGAGACUCCGCUGGCGUCGGAGGGGGGGGUGAAGGACAGCAGUUUUAGCUCUGGAAUCUUGUGUGGAGGUCAACAGGCUGGUCGUGUUCAGCGCUCAUCUUUCUCAUUAGAUGGCGAGGAAUGCUUCUUCGUCCCACGCAAGCUGUUUGCUCUGCGUCUAUCCAUGGCUCACUGCUUCUCAGAGCUCCUGGACAACACCCCUCACUCACUUCUCUUCUAUAUGCUCAUGACAUUUUUUUUUUGCCUCCCGCAG